ACCUUUUGUAAAUUUGAAGUCUGAUGGAAAUCCGUGAAGUUUGUAGCACUUGUCAAUGAGGUGACCAGGUUUCUUACAAUACCUACACACUAAGUUUGCCCUGUUGAGGUCAAAAUUGAGUCUCUGACUGAACUGCUUAGGGUACCCAGCUGUGGGAGGAGGAAAUUUUGUGAUUGGGGGAUAUGUUGCUGAGAUGAGUAUUGAAGGCACUCGAAUCAUGACGAAAUUGGGAAGGUGAUGAAACUUGUCUCUGUCUCUCAUCUUGGAGUAAAAUGUUGUAUGCACAAUCCAGACUUGGUGGAGGCUGUAACAUGAGAAUGUUGCUCCUGACUCCCACAUAUAUGUCAUUGAGCCCCAUUAGAAACCGAAAGUUGGUGGAGGCUGUAACAUAAGAAUGUUGCUCCUAACUCCCACAUAGAUGUCAUUGAGCCCCAUAAGAAUCUGAUGCAAUUUGUUUUCAUCAUCCUCCCUUUGAAGCUCGGAUCUGGCAGUGCAUGUACAAGUGUUACCACGAGAUGCUCGCAUGAAACCCAGCUCAUCCCAUAGUUUCUUUAACUUGUUGAAACGGGAUGCUAUAUCCAAAGACCCCUGAUUAGUUGAUGCCAAUUCCUGUUUAAUCUCAAAUAUCCUGGUCCCAUUGACAGUCCCAUAUCUAGUGUUAAGUUGAUUCCAGAUGCUUUGAGCAGUGUCGGAAUACUGAACACUCUCGGCUAUCUCCGGCGCAAGAAAAUUAGUAAGCCAAGAGAUAACCAUGUUGUUACACCUAUCUCAUUGUCUAAACUGAGGAGAGUUUUCUGGAGGUUUGGGAAUCGUUCCGUCAAUGAAACCUAUCUUAUUUCUAGCGGAUAGGGAGACGAUUA
rnacentral:lncRNA from 1 species